UACGUAGGGUGCGAGCGUUGUCCGGAAUUACUGGGCGUAAAGAGCUCGUAGGUGGUUUGUCGCGUUGUUCGUGAAAACUCACAGCUCAACUGUGGGCGUGCGGGCGAUACGGGCAGACUGGAGUACUGCAGGGGAGACUGGAAUUCCUGGUGUAGCGGUGGAAUGCGCAGAUAUCAGGAGGAACACCGGUGGCGAAGGCGGGUCUCUGGGCAGUAACUGACGCUGAGGAGCGAAAAGCAUGGGGGAGCGAACAGG
rnacentral:rRNA from 1 species